AACGCUAGCUACAGGCUUAACACAUGCAAGUCGAGGGGAAACGAUAUUGGAAGCUUGCUUCCGAUAGGCGUCGACCGGCGCACGGGUGAGUAACGCGUAUCCAACCUGCCCACCACUUGGGGAUAACCUUGCGAAAGUAAGACUAAUACCCAAUGAUAUCUCUAGAAGGCAUCUGAAGGAGAUUAAAGAUUUAUCGGUGAUGGAUGGGGAUGCGUCUGAUUAGCUUGUUGGCGGGGUAACGGCCCACCAAGGCUACGAUCAGUAGGGGUUCUGAGAGGAAGGUCCCCCACACUGGAACUGAGACACGGUCCAAACUCCUACGGGAGGCAGCAGUGAGGAAUAUUGGUCAAUGGGCGAGAGCCUGAACCAGCCAAGUAGCGUGCAGGAUGACGGCCCUAUGGGUUGUAAACUGCUUUUAUACAGGAAUAAAGUUAGCCACGUGUGGUUAUUUGUAGGUACUGUAUGAAUAAGGACCGGCUAAUUCCGUGCCAGCAGCCGCGGUAAUACGGAAGGUCCAGGCGUUAUCCGGAUUUAUUGGGUUUAAAGGGAGCGUAGGCCGUCUGUUAAGCGUGUUGUGAAAUGUAGAUGCUCAACAUCUGAAUUGCAGCGCGAACUGGCAGACUUGAGUGUGCGCAACGUAGGCGGAAUUCGUGGUGUAGCGGUGAAAUGCUUAGAUAUCACGAAGAACUCCGAUUG
rnacentral:rRNA from 1 species